AGGGUUAGGGUGAUUUCCAGGAAGUGACCUCACAAAGACUCAAGCUACCACUUACUGUUGAUUGUGAUGAAAUGCCAGCUGAGGCACACGCCUUGGGAGCUAAGUGGUUGCUGCCCUUGACUACUAUGAAGACUGGUGUGGGAAGGGUCGCUUUGGAUGCACUUGAGCAGGGGUCCCCAACCCCUGAGCCAUGGAGCCGUAAGGAGCCACACAGCAGGUGAGUGGUGUCGAGUGAGGGAGUGAGGGAAGCUUCGUCUGUAUUUACAGCCACUCCCCUUUGCUCACAUUCCCGCCUGAGCUCCACCUUCUCAGAUGAGCAGCAGCAUUAGAUUCUCAUAGGAGAACGCACCCUGUUGUGAACCGUGCAUGUGAGGGAUCUAGGUUGCGCUGUGCUUAUGAGAAUCUAAUACCUAUUGAUCUGUCACUUUCCCCCAUCACGCUCAGGUGGGACCAUCCAGUUUCAGGAAAACAAGCUUAACACGCCCACUGAUUCUACAUUAUGCUCCUACCUCCCGGCAGCCUCGCCAGGCCCAGAACUCUCUCCAGUCAGCCUCUACAGACCAAGCUCAUGACUCACAAUGGCCUAUUUAGGCCCAUACCCUACCUCACGGCAGUCUCCGCAGAUGAGCCUACUGCCUCACAACAGCCUCCACAGGCACAGCUCCAUCGUUACAAUGGCCUCUUUAGACCCAGCUCCUGCCUCCCACCCUUCUCUCCAGGCCCUGAACUUUCUCCGUGGGACCAUCCAGUUUCAGGAAAACAAGCUUAACACGCCCACUGAUUCUACAUUAUGCUCCUACCUCCCGGCAGCCUCGCCAGGCCCAGAACUCUCUCCAGUCAGCCUCUACAGACCAAGCUCAUGACUCACAAUGGCCUAUUUAGGCCCAUACCCUACCUCACGGCAGUCUCCGCAGAUGAGCCUACUGCCUCACAACAGCCUCCACAGGCACAGCUCCAUCGUUACAAUGGCCUCUUUAGACCCAGCUCCUGCCUCCCAGCCUUCUCUCCAGGCCCUGAACUUU